ACCACUUCGGUGGGGAUUAGUGGCGAACGGGUGAGUAACACGUGGGCAAUCUGCCCUUCACUCUGGGACAAGCCCUGGAAACGGGGUCUAAUACCGGAUAACACCUUCCUCCUCCUGGAGGAAGGUUAAAAGCUCCGGCGGUGAAGGAUGAGCCCGCGGCCUAUCAGCUUGUUGGUGAGGUAAUGGCUCACCAAGGCGACGACGGGUAGCCGGCCUGAGAGGGCGACCGGCCACACUGGGACUGAGACACGGCCCAGACUCCUACGGGAGGCAGCAGUGGGGAAUAUUGCACAAUGGGCGAAAGCCUGAUGCAGCGACGCCGCGUGAGGGAUGACGGCCUUCGGGUUGUAAACCUCUUUCAGCAGGGAAGAAGCGAAAGUGACGGUACCUGCAGAAGAAGCGCCGGCUAACUACGUGCCAGCAGCCGCGGUAAUACGUAGGGCGCAAGCGUUGUCCGGAAUUAUUGGGCGUAAAGAGCUCGUAGGCGGCUUGUCACGUCGGGUGUGAAAGCCCGGGGCUUAACCCCGGGUCUGCAUUCGAUACGGGCUAGCUAGAGUGUGGUAGGGGAGAUCGGAAUUCCUGGUGUAGCGGUGAAAUGCGCAGAUAUCAGGAGGAACACCGGUGGCGAAGGCGGAUCUCUGGGCCAUUACUGACGCUGAGGAGCGAAAGCGUGGGGAGCGAACAGGAUUAGAUACCCUGGUAGUCCACGCCGUAAACGGU
rnacentral:rRNA from 1 species